GCCUCCCCCGCCUAUAAAAGGGGACCCAGAUACGUUAUUCUCUAAGCCCUCUUUUCUAUCUCAAAACUCUGCUAAAUUCUCCAUUUGAGCACUCCAUUCUUGUUAAGGCAGAGUACUGACUUGAGCGUCGGAGGGUCUUGCCGGAGCAACCCCACCUCCGGUUUAGACUUCCCUUGCAGGUCCCGGCGGCGGCGACCGCGGCUUCUCCGACUCCAGCUUCCCCGGCG
rnacentral:lncRNA from 1 species